ensembl:lincRNA Gm16086 predicted gene 16086
GGUUGACUGGUUCCCUGAGGAUAUAAGGCUCAUAUCAGCGACCUCUUCUUCCAUCCUUCAGAGCAAGUCUAAAAGCAGCUGAUUAUCAUCCUGUUUGUUGGUUCUGAAUUGAGCCAGUCCUAAAGGACCAGGACUUCAUUUUCUGUUGUGAAGAACACAACACAACACAACACAACACACCAGCCUGGCUGACAGGAGGCAGCGGAAAACUGAAGACCAGGAGAUUUUUCCAAAAUGGCCCCCUGACAUGCACAUCUAAGGCUGGCCCUGAUUGACAUCAAGUGCAGCAAUUAAACCCACCAGCUGAUGAAGAAUGGAAGCUCCAGUGAGUUGCGAUGCUUCCAGGGCAAUGAUCUGAGAGCCCGGAGAAAAGCAG